rnacentral:rRNA from 1 species
UACAGAGGGUGCAAGCGUUGUUCGGAAUUAUUGGGCGUAAAGCGCGCGUAGGCGGCUCGGAAAGUCGGUCGUGAAAUGCCGGGGCUCAACCCCGGGACUGCGUCCGAUACUCUCGAGCUGGAGGCAGGUAGGGGAGAUCGGAAUUCCUGGUGUAGCGGUGAAAUGCGCAGAUAUCAGGAGGAACACCGGUGGCGAAGGCGGAUCUCUGGGCCUUGCCUGACGCUGGAGGCGCGAAAGCUAGGGGAGCGAACAGG